UAACCCUCAAGCCUGGCUUGGUGUUGGGGCCUGCUGUUACCGGCAGCCCUUAAAAUCAGUGGCGGUGCCAUCUGGCUCUAAGCGUAGUAAUACUUCUCGCUACAGGGUCCCGGUGGAUGCUUGCCAUCAACUCCUAAUUUUCUAU
rnacentral:misc_RNA from 1 species